rnacentral:rRNA from 1 species
AGUGAACGCUGGCGGUAGGCCUAACACAUGCAAGUCGAACGACCGCACAGUAAGAUCUUGCUCUUACGGGUGGCGAGUGGCGGACGGGUGAGGAAUACAUCGCAAUCUACUUUUUCGUGGGUGAUAACGUAGGGAAACUUACGCUAAUACCGCAUACGACCUACGGGUGAAAGCAGGGGAUCUUCGGACCUUGCGCGAUUGAAUGAGCCGAUGUCGGAUUAGCUAGUUGGCGUGGUAAAGGCUCACCAAGGCAACGAUGCGUAGCUGAUCUGAGAGGAUGAUCGGCCACACUGGAACUGAGACACGGUCCAGACUCCUACGGGAGGCAGCAGUAGGGAAUAUUCGACAAUGGGCGAAAGCCUGACGGAGCCACACCGCGUGGGUGAAGAAGGCCUUCGGAUCGUAAAGCUCUUUUGUUGGGGAAGAAAAGCAGCGGAUGAAUACAUGGAUGUUUUGACGGUACCCAAUGAGUAAGCAACGGCUAACUACGUG